UACGUAGGUGGCAAGCGUUGUCCGGAUUUAUUGGGCGUAAAGCGCGCGCAGGCGGCUAUGUAAGUCUGAUGUUAAAGCCCGAGGCUCAACCUCGGUUCGCAUUGGAAACUGUGUAGCUUGAGUGCAGAAGAGGAAAGCGGUAUUCCACGUGUAGCGGUGAAAUGCGUAGAGAUGUGGAGGAACACCAGUGGCGAAGGCGGCUUUCUGGUCUGUAACUGACGCUGAGGCGCGAAAGCGUGGGGAGC
rnacentral:rRNA from 1 species